GGACGGCACAGCAGCCACGCCCCCUUCUGGAACCUUCUGGAACCUUCUGGAACCUUCUCCCCUCUGCACCCCCCCACCUCUGGGUCCCCUGUGCCACCACGGGACCCCCUGCAGGAAGGCACACCUGGCACACCUGGGCACACCUGGCACACCUGGGCACACCUGGCACACCGGGCCACAUGGGCACCUGGAGACCUGGGCACACCUGGGCACACCUGGACAUCUGGGCUCACCUGGGCACACCUGGACAUCUGGGCUCACCUGGGCACACCUGGCAGACCUGGGUGCAUCUGGACACACCUGGCUCACCUGGGCACACCUGGGCACCUGGACACACCUGCCACAUCUGGGCACACCUGGCAGACCUGGCUCACCUGGACACCUGGAUGUCUUCCACACCUGGGCAUGCUUGGGCACACCUGGAGACCUGGGACACCUGGGCACCUGGACACACCUGCCAUAUCUGGGCUCACCUGGGAUACCUGGCACACCUGGGCACACCUGUGCUCACCUGAGCACACCUGGACACCUGGGUUUUUUUGGGGGGGUUGGGUAUUUUUGCUUUAUUUUCCUUUCCUGAACAAGUAGCAGCUGCGUGCCCAGCUCGGCGUGAGGAGGAGCCGUGUGUCCCUCAUCAUCCUCACUCCCACCUGAGAGCAGCCCUGGCCCAGGCCAGGUGGGAGCCAGGCUGCCAAGAAAUGCACUGGCUGCAUUUCUGCUGCAUUUCUGCUCUGCCCAGCGCAUCCCCUGCGUCCUGCAGCCCCCCGAGCCUCUCCUGCAGCCCAGGGCAUCCCCCCCAGCCCCUCCAGUCCUCACAAAACUCCCUCUGGAAAUCUCCCAGGACAGAAAUCACCUUUGCAGCCGCAGUUCUGUCAGCAGCAAAGGUUCUCAUCUCAUUUUUUACCAGAUACAGAAAUGCUUUUGGAAAUAGCAGUUCUAGCUUUUCUAGCAAAACAAGGGAUGGGGAGGAUAAAAAGGAAAAAAGAACCUCUCAAGGAGGAAAGGGAAUGGAGGAACGAGACUCAGCGGGGACCUGGCCUGGCCCUUUGGGCGAGGAGAGCAGGGAGCCCCUGGCAGAGGCUCUGGUGCCUCCCUCUGCCAGGUGAGGUGGGACCGACCUGUGAGUGCUGAGGAGCUGGGGCUGCAGCAGCCAAGGCCGGGCUCCCUUUGGGCCCCCUGUUCUGUCUGUCCUUCCUUUGAUCCUCCUGUUCUGUGUGUGCCCCCCGAUCCCCCUGUUGUGUGUGUGCCCCAGGCAGCCCUGGCUGUGCUCCCUUGGUCCCCUCUUCUGUCUGUCCCCCCUUUGAGCCCCCCGUUCUGUCUGUGCCCCCCGAGCCCCUGUUCUGUGUGCAGGCAGCACGGAGCAGCCCCCAGCCCCCUGUGCUGCAGCUGGGGUGGGACCCCUUGGAUGGACGGGAUUGGGUCGGAAAAAGAGCUCCUGGCCUUGGCUUGCCCUGGUCUGGUUUGGUUUGGUUUGGUACGGUUGGUUUGGUUUGGCUUGGUCUGGUUUGGUUGGUUUGGUUUGAUUGGUUUGUGUUUUGUUUGGUAUGGUUGGUUUGGUUUGGCUUGGUCUGGUUUGGUUGGUUUGUGUUUGGUUUGGUACGGUUGGGUUGGUUUGGAUUGGAUUGGUUUUGUUUGGUUGGGUUGGGUUUUGUUGGGUUGGGUUUGGUUUGGUUGGAUUUGGUUUGGAUUGGAUUGGUUUGAUCUGGUUUGGUUUUGUUUGAUCUGGUUUGCUUUGGUUUGGUUUCAAUUGGAUUGUUUUGGUUUGGAUUGGUUUGGUUGCUUUGGUUUGGUUGGUCUGGUUUGGAUUGGAUUGGUUGGUUUGGAUUGGAUUGGAUUGGUUAGGUUGGAUUGGACUUGAUUCAUUUGGUUUGGUUGAGUUGGGUUGGGCUUGGUUUGGUUUGGUUGCUUUGGUUGGUCUGGUUUGGAUUGGAUUGGUUGGGUAGGGUUUGGUCUGGUUUGGUUCGGUUUGGUGUGGUUGGUUGGGUCUGGUUUGGUCGGGUCUGGCUUGGUUGGGUGAGUUUUGAUUAUUGGUUUAGUUUGGUUUGCUCUGGUUUGGUUUGGAUUGGUCUGGUUUGGUCUGGUUUGAUCUGGUUUGGUUUGGAUUAGUCUGGUUUGCUCUGGUUUGCUCUGGUUUGCUGUGAUUUGGUCGGGUUUGGUCUGGUUUGUCUGGUUUGGUCUGGUUUGGUUUGGAUUAGUCUGGUUUGGUUUGGAUUAGUCUGGUUUGCUCCGGUUUGCUCCGGUUUGCUCUGGUUUGCUCUGGUUUGGUUUGGAUUAGUCUGGUUUGCUGUGAUUUGGUCGGGUUUGCUCUGGUUUGCUCUGGUUUGGUUUGGAUUAGUCUGGUUUGGUCUGAUUUGAUUUGGAUUAGUCGGGUUUGCUCUGGUUUGCUCUGGUGUGCUGUGAUUUGGUCAGGUUUGGUCUGGUUUGGUCUGGUUUGGUCUGGUUUGCUCUGGUUUGGUCUGGUUUGGUUUGGAUUAGUCUGGUUUGCUCUGGUUUGCUCUGGUUUGUCCCCACCACGGACGGUGUGAACACUGGGACAGUGUAACACAGGAUCCCUGUCCCCCACAGAUCCUCAGCAUUUCACAAACGUCUGGGGAGGAAAUUCAUUUCCCACAAGACAGCGUCGAGAAUUUUUAUUUUUAUAGUGUUGGUUAGCCAAUGAGGUGGUUAAUUAAUUGGUUAAUUAACCAAUAAACCUCCUGCUGGGGGGAAAUGUAAAAGCUGUGUAUUCUCCAUGGCAUUUUGCAGAUGUACAUAGAAAUUCUCAUUCUCCCCAAACUAAGGAAAAAACCCCAACCCUGCAGAUUAAAAGAAGCAAAAUAGAGCCUAGAUCAGGCUAGGAAAAGAAAUCAGAAUUUUCAAAUGCUCCCUUUGUAAUCCUCCAUUUAAAAGAAUAAAAAAACAAGCUCCAAAUAAUUCUUGUUGUACAUAUUGUUGCUGCAUGCUUACCAUAUGUUAGAUGGAAGCAUUUCCUAUCCCUUGUGGAUAAAAGAACAUUUUUCAAGUUGUAGUAAAUUAUUAUAAAGCCAAUGACAGUUCAUGGCAUGUUAUCGUAUCAAGCUGUGCUUGUUGUAUUUUUUUUUCUUUAUGGUUGUAUUGCUUUUUUUUAUAUAUAUAUAUAUAUAUAUAUAAAUGUACAAAUAUUUCCUGUAGUGACGAGCACCUGUUUUACAUGGCAUUAACUGGGGCAGCUCCAGGCUGCACAGCCCAAUUGUGCACCAAAUCUGGGUGGAAAAACCCAAAAUUCUGCAGAGGAUGGGCUCUGGUGACCCACAAAAAUCAGAGCCCAUUUCUGCACCAAAUCUGGGUGGAAAAAACCCCAAAAUUCUGCAGAGGAUGGGCUGCCAAUGAAUGCAAAUAAAUGCCAAUUAAUGCCCAUUAAUGCCAAUUAAUGCCAUGUAAAUGAGGUCGAAGAGCUGGGCACCCCCGUGGUGCCCUCUGUACCCUGGGUGACUUUUCCCUGCCCAGCCUUUGAAUAAGGCUCAGCCUCUGCUUUAUUCUGCUUUAUUCUGGUUUAUUUUGGUUUAUUUUAGUUUAUUUUAUUUCAUUUUCCUUGCCCACAUGAGCUCUGUGGAUGCUCCCUCUGCUGCCCUGGUUUUGGAGAGGGGCUCUGGCAGGUUUGAGGUGACUUUUGGGACAGUUUUGUGUGAUUUUUGGGAAGUUUUGGGGUGAUUUCUGGGACAGUUUUGGAUGAUUUUUUUGGGAAGCUUUGAGGUGAUUUUCGGGACAGUUUUGGGACAGUAUUGGGGUGAUAUUUUGGGAAGCUUUGAGGUGAUUUUGGGGACAGUUUUGGGUGAUUUUGGGGUGCAGAUAGGGGCUGGUUUGGUGUCUCCAUUAUGGUUUGCUGUUGGUUGGUGUCAGCCCAGGGCUGUGCAGGGACGUUUCACCCCUCUGUGUGUUGCAUGUUCAACGUGUCCUUUGUUAAACCCAGUCAUUACUCUUGAUUGCUGGCCUUGAUGUUAUUAUAAUUAUUAUUAUUAAAGAAUACACAAACCUC